ACUCUAAUAGUUUAUAACAAAACAUUGGUCUUGUAAACCAAAAACUGAAGAUUAUGCCCUUCUUAGAGUAACA
rnacentral:tRNA from 1 species